rnacentral:rRNA from 1 species
GACGAACGCUGGCGGCGUGCUUAACACAUGCAAGUCGAACGGAAAGGCCCUGCUUUUGUGGGGUGCUCGAGUGGCGAACGGGUGAGUAACACGUGAGUAACCUGCCCUUGACUUUGGGAUAACUUCAGGAAACUGGGGCUAAUACCGGAUAGGAGCUCCUGCUGCAUGGUGGGGGUUGGAAAGUUUCGGCGGUUGGGGAUGGACUCGCGGCUUAUCAGCUUGUUGGUGGGGUAGUGGCUUACCAAGGCUUUGACGGGUAGCCGGCCUGAGAGGGUGACCGGGCACAAUGGAACUGAGACAGGGUGCAGAGUCCGACGGGAGGCAGAGGAGGGGAAGAGUGGGCAAGGGGCGGAAGCAGGAGGGAGCAAGGCGGAGGGAGUGAGGAAGGCCUUAGGGUGGGAAAGAACGGUUGUUGGGGAAGAACAGAUGUAGGGGAAACAGAGGCGGUCUGGGCGGUACCUAAAGAAAAAGCCACGGCUAACAGCGUG